GGUUAAGUUAAUAAGGGCGCACGGUGGAUGCCUUGGCACUAGAAGCCGAUGAAGGACGUGACUAACGACGAAAUGCUUUGGGGAGCUGUAAGUGAGCAAUGAUCCAGAGAUGUCCGAAUGGGGGAACCCGGCAGGUAAUGCCUGUCACUCAUUACUGUUAAGGUAAUGUAGAGGAAGACGCAGUGAACUGAAACAUCUAAGUAGCUGUAGGAAGAGAAAGCAAAAGCGAUUGCCUUAGUAGCGGCGAGCGAAACGGCAAGAGGGCAAACCGAAGAGUUUACUCUUCGGGGUUGUAGGACUGCAACGUGGACUUAAAGAUUAUAGAAGAACUACCUGGGAAGGUAGGCCAAAGAGAGUAAUAGCCUCGUAUUCGAAAUAGUCUUUAUACCUAGCAGUAUCCUGAGUACGGCGAGACACGAGAAAUCUCGUCGGAAUCUGGGAGGACCAUCUCCCAACCCUAAAUACUCUUUAGUGACCGAUAGUGAACCAGUACCGUGAGGGAAAGGUGAAAAGCACCCCGGGAGGGGAGUGAAAUAGAACCUGAAACCGUGUGCCUACAACAAGUUCGAGCCCGUUAAUGGGUGAGAGCGUGCCUUUUGUAGAAUGAACCGGCGAGUUACGAUAUGAUGCGAGGUUAAGUUGAAGAGACGGAGCCGUAGGGAAACCGAGUCUUAAUAGGGCGCAUUAGUAUCAUGUCGUAGACCCGAAACCAUGUGACCUACCCAUGAGCAGGUUGAAGGUGAGGUAAAACUCACUGGAGGACCGAACCAGGGCACGUUGAAAAGUGCUUGGAUGACUUGUGGGUAGCGGAGAAAUUCCAAACGAACUUGGAGAUAGCUGGUUCUCUCCGAAAUAGCUUUAGGGCUAGCGUCGAUGUUAAGUCUCUUGGAGGUAGAGCACUGUUUGGGUGAGGGGUCCAUCCCGGAUUACCAAUCUCAGAUAAACUCCGAAUGCCAAUGAGAUAUAAUCGGCAGUCAGACUGCGAGUGCUAAGAUCCGUAGUCGAAAGGGAAACAGCCCAGACCACCAGCUAAGGUCCCAAAAUAUAUGUUAAGUGGAAAAGGAUGUGGGGUUGCACAGACAACUAGGAUGUUAGCUUAGAAGCAGCUAUUCAUUCAAAGAGUGCGUAAUAGCUCACUAGUCGAGUGACCCUGCGCCGAAAAUGUACCGGGGCUAAAACAUAUUACCGAAGCUGUGGAUACCUUUAUAGGUAUGGUAGGAGAGCGUUCUAUGUGCGAAGAAGGUGUACCGUGAGGAGUGCUGGAGCGCAUAGAAGUGAGAAUGCCGGUAUGAGUAGCGAAAGACAGGUGAGAAUCCUGUCCACCGUAAGACUAAGGUUUCCAGGGGAAGGCUCGUCCGCCCUGGGUUAGUCGGGACCUAAGGAGAGACCGAAAGGUGUAUCCGAUGGACAACAGGUUGAUAUUCCUGUACUAGAGUAUAUAGUGAUGGAGGGACGCAGUAGGCUAACUAAACCAGACGAUUGGAAGUGUCUGGCCAAGCAGUGAGGUGUGAUAUGAGUCAAAUGCUUAUAUCUUUAACAUUGAGCUGUGAUGGGGAGCGAAGUUUAGUAGCGAAGUUAGUGAUGUCACACUGCCGAGAAAAGCUUCUAGCGUUAAUUAUACUCUACCCGUACCGCAAACCGACACAGGUAGUCGAGGCGAGUAGCCUCAGGUGAGCGAGAGAACUCUCGUUAAGGAACUCGGCAAAAUGGCCCCGUAACUUCGGGAGAAGGGGCGCUGACUGAUGGUCAGCCGCAGUGAAUAGGCCCAAGCAACUGUUUAUCAAAAACACAGCUCUCUGCUAAAUCGUAAGAUGAUGUAUAGGGGGUGACGCCUGCCCGGUGCUGGAAGGUUAAGAGGAGUGCUUAGCGUAAGCGAAGGCAUGAAUUGAAGCCCCAGUAAACGGCGGCCGUAACUAUAACGGUCCUAAGGUAGCGAAAUUCCUUGUCGGGUAAGUUCCGACCCGCACGAAAGGCGUAAUGAUUUGGGCACUGUCUCAACGAGAGACUCGGUGAAAUUUUAGUACCUGUGAAGAUGCAGGUUACCCGCGACAGGACGGAAAGACCCCAUGGAGCUUUACUGCAGUUUGAUAUUGAGUAUCUGUACCACAUGUACAGGAUAGGUAGGAGCCUAUGACCUCGGGACGCCAGUUUCGAGUGAGGCGUUGUUGGGAUACUACCCUUGUGUUAUGGCUACUCUAACCCAGAUAGGUUAUCCCUAUCGGGGACAGUGUCUGACGGGCAGUUUGACUGGGGCGGUCGCCUCCUAAAAGGUAACGGAGGCGCCCAAAGGUUCCCUCAGAAUGGUUGGAAAUCAUUCGCAGAGUGUAAAGGUAUAAGGGAGCUUGACUGCGAGAGCUACAACUCGAGCAGGGACGAAAGUCGGGCUUAGUGAUCCGGUGGUUCCGUAUGGAAGGGCCAUCGCUCAACGGAUAAAAGCUACCCUGGGGAUAACAGGCUUAUCUCCCCCAAGAGUUCACAUCGACGGGGAGGUUUGGCACCUCGAUGUCGGCUCGUCGCAUCCUGGGGCUGUAGUCGGUCCCAAGGGUUGGGCUGUUCGCCCAUUAAAGCGGCACGCGAGCUGGGUUCAGAACGUCGUGAGACAGUUCGGUCCCUAUCCGUCGCGGGCGUAGGAAAUUUGAGAGGAUCUGCUCCUAGUACGAGAGGACCAGAGUGGACUUACCGCUGGUGUACCAGUUGUUCUGCCAAGAGCAUCGCUGGGUAGCUAUGUAGGGAAGGGAUAAACGCUGAAAGCAUCUAAGUGUGAAGCCCACCUCAAGAUGAGAUUUCCCAUGAUUUUAUAUCAGUAAGAGCCCUGAGAGAUGAUCAGGUUGAUAGGUUAGAAGUGGAAGUGUGGUGACACAUGUAGCGGACUAAUACUAAUAGCUCGAGGACUUAUCCAA
rnacentral:rRNA from 1 species